rnacentral:rRNA from 1 species
UGCAGUUAGAACGCUCGUAGUCGGAUUUCGGGGCGGGCCGACCGGUCUGCCGAUGGGUACGCACUGGUCGGCGCGUCCUUCCUUCCGGAGACCGUGCCUACUCUUAACUGAGCGGGGGCGGGAGACGGAACGUUUACUUUGAAAAAAUCAGAGUGUUUCAAGCAGGCAGCUCGCUCUUGCAUGGAUUAGCAUGGGAUAAUGAAAUAGGACUUUGGUGCUAUUUUGUUGGUUUCGAACACCGAAGUAAUGAUGAGAAGGGACAGUCAGGGGCACUCGUAUUCCACCGAGAGAGGUGAAAUUCUCAGACCAGUGGAAGACGAACCACUGCGAAAGCAUUUGCCAGGGAUGUUUUCACUGAUCAAGAACGAAAGUUAGGGGAUCGAAGACGAUCAGAUACCGUCGUAGUCUUAACCAUAAACCAUGCCGACUAGGGAUUGGGGGAUGUUCACUGAUUGACUCCCUCAGCACCUUACGGGAAACUAAAGUCUUUGGGUUCCGGGGGGAGUAUGGUCGCAAAGCUGAAACUUAAAGGAAUUGACGGAAGGGCACCACCAGGUGUGGAGCCUGCGGCUUAAUUUGACUCCACACCGGGAAACUUACCAGGUCC